rnacentral:other from 1 species
AUUACCCUGCUGUGCUCGUGCUGACUGAUUAAGUUUUGAGCCAACACUUAUAUAAAGAGGAAUCGAGCUCUAAAUGUAGAAUGUAGGCCUAAGGUAAGUCUCCCUCCACCGGAGGAAAGGCAAAUACCUAACGUUAACUACUUGGUUGACGCGGAAACAUAAAACAUUUAGGUAGAUACCCACCUGUUUGAGGACAGGUAUCAAAACCUAACGCACACGACAUAGCGGGGUUUUA